rnacentral:lncRNA from 1 species
AGUGAAGAGGAUUCAGCCAUCAAUUUGAGUGAUGGAGGGAUGGCUGGUAAUCUUUUUAGCUCAUUGGAUGAGCCGCAGAAGAAUACUUCACCCACCAAGAAAAGGCCGAGAAUUCAUCGUGAAGCUGAUGAAACCUCAAAUCAAGGUAAUAAGGGUGUAGCUUUUCAGACAUGAAUAAAAUAACUGUACUAGUGCGUUCAUCGUGAAGCUGAUGAAACUUCAAAUCAAGGUAAUAAAUGACAAUUUAUGUAUAAGAGUGUAGCUUUUCAGACAUGAAUAAAAUAACUGUACUAGUGCUUCUUAUCAUAA